UUGGAGGUGAUGCAUCCUAAAAAACAUCUGACUGCCACUGAUGGUGUUUGUAUUCAUACUGCCUGAUCCAG